UACGUAGGGUGCGAGCGUUAAUCGGAAUUACUGGGCGUAAAGCGGGCGCAGACGGUUACUUAAGCAGGAUGUUCCCUCCCCGGGCUCCCCCUGGGAACUGCUUUCUGAACUGGGUUCCUAGAGUGUGUCCUCGGGAGGUAGAAUUCCACGUGUAGCAGUGAAAUGCGUAGAGAUGUGGAGGAAUACCGAUGGCGAAGGCAGCCUCCUGGGAUAACACUGACGUUCAUGCCCGAAAGCGUGGGUAGCAAACAGG
rnacentral:rRNA from 1 species